GUGCUUGCUUUAGCAGCAUGUAGAACUCAAAUUGGAACAAUACAGGGAAGAUUAGCAUGGCCCUUGCACAAGGAUGACAUGCAAAUUUAUGAAGUAUUCCAUAUUUAA
ensembl:snRNA U6 U6 spliceosomal RNA